GUCUGAGGGAGCUGGGGGUGUUUGGCCUGGAGACAAGGAGGCUCAGGGGGACCUUAUUGCUGUCUACAAAUACCUGAGAGGAAGUGGUAGCAACAUUGGUCUCUUCUCCCAAGUAAUAAGUGAUGGGAUAAGAGGAAAUGGCCUCAAGUUGUGCCAGGGAAGGUUUAGUCUGGAUAACAGGAAAAGUGUCUUCACCAAGAGAGUUGUCAAACAUUGGAACAGGCUGCCCAGGGAAGUGGUGGAGUCACCAUCCCUGGAGGUGUUAACAGAUGUGUAGAUGUGGCAUCUGGGGACAUGGUUUAGUGGUGGCCUUGGCAGUGCUGGGUUAAUGGUUGGACUCCAUGAUAUUAAAGGUCUUUUCCAGUCUAACUUAUUUCAUGAUUUUAUGUUUGGUCUUAUGUAAUCAGUAUUGCAGUAACAGCUACUUUGAUCUUAGUCGUGUGGCUACUAUCUUAACAAACAGGAACCAUGUUUUCCUGAUGUCCUCAUGACACAAAGAAACCGGUUCUUGUAAAAAAAGAAUCAAUUUAUUCUUUUCACAUCUUUUUGGCAAAUCUUUGCUUUUUCCCUGUUUUCCCAGGAAUAUCAAACAAUCUUAUUCAGAAGAACCAGACACUCAGAUCUGUUACAGUUAAUCCAACUGGAUUUUACUGUUUUAUACAUUAGUUCAAGGAGCUAAGAAGGUGGGACAGUCUUCUCUGUCCCUUCCAUUGAUGUUUUAUGACACAGGUACACUGGGACAAGACAAGUUUCCUUAAUGCCACAUCUACAUCCUAUAUAAAUGGAACAUAAACUGGCAGCAUCCUGUAAGGAAAAUGCAGCAAUACAUUUUGUAUAAGAUUUAGUGGUUUUGCCCUUCUGUGACUUGGAGGAACUGCAGCUGUACUAGAAUAGCUUCAGGAUUUGGCUGACUUAUGUAUGCACCCGCCAGGGCUCCAGUAUCUGUGCCAAAAUAGAGAAAGAGAGAAAAUCCCUGCACUUCCACACAACAUGUGGGGAGAAAGACUGUUGUGUCUGGAGCCAGGAUGGCAGCCAGCACCCGUCCCUCUGGCAGCUACGCUUUGCUGAAUGCAUUUCAGAGGUUUGGUUUUGUCUUGUGCACACAUCAUGUUUUCUGUCCACUGUCGGAGCAUCUUAAAUGAAGACAUAAUGGAUGACUGUGACAGAGGAGUUUGGUUUCUCUGGGCCAUUCUCUGCUCUUUUGUGACUAUGCAGAAGGACUUGUGUGCUCACUGUGGUUGUUGCCUUUUGCCACUAAUUAGAGGAAGAACUGCUCUGGCUUCAUCCCUAAGCUUGCAAGUCUCUCAAAGUCAUGAUGAUGUCACUAUUUUUUAUGUAGCCUGGAUUAUAAAGAUGUAACACUAAAGGAAUGACAGUGAUUAUUUCACAUUGGCUGGGUGGUAUCUUCUGAGACUACGAUUUCUUUAGUACCAAUUGUAACUCUAGAUACCACAACACCACUUGCUUAGGUUCAAGGAGAAAAGAAAAAGCACAGGUGUGAGGAAGUUGCAUUGUACAACUGUGUUAUCUGCAAUGCAGGCAAGUGAUUUAUGAUUGCAUGUUUCAUGGAGCUGGAAUGAUAUUGCCAGAGGUAAGAAUAAAGAGGAAAAUUCAACCUCCCUUCGGGUGACAGACAUCUUAAAAAAUAAAGAGGAUCCUUUUGAAUUUUCUGGCAAGUCUCAUCAGGAGAGUCCUACAGCAAAAAGGGAAACGUGUCUUUCCCUUUGCAGGCACUACAACUGCCCCAGAACAACCACUACUCACUGUGUAAGAUCCCUUUGAUAGGCAACCAGGGAAACUGCUGCUGCAGCCGCUAACUGUACCCAGGCUGCGUUCCCUUUCUGCUAGUGCACACAACUUGCUCUUCUGACAUUGUGCAAUUCCACAGUAAUACAGACAUUAGUUUCAUGGACAACUCUGACCAUUUUUGCUUUAUAGAAAGAAAUCAGCUCUGUAAUCAGCAGAAUUGAUGACAUUUGGUGUCCUAUGGUUUUCCUUUCCUUCCAAAGCAUGGAAAGCCCCAGGUCCCAGGGGCAGGUAUUGGGAAAACUUGAAAUCGUUCUACUUCUCAUUGACUGGCCAAGGAUCAAGGGAAAUGAGAUUGCUGGGUUGGCAAGAGAACCUCAACACCAACCUGAAGUUGCUUGAAUAGUAUAAACUUGAAGCAGUAUGAAGUUUUGAUGUUUUCGUUGAUAGUAUUUAGAGCACAGUAUCAUCUAACAGCAAUCACAACUAGAGCUUUAGCAAGAGAGAUGUCUUACACAAGCACAAAAGGUCUGAGCCUUCAAGCAGUUGCUUCUAGUCUGAUCUAAAUCAUGUCUAAUGAGACAGAAGUGUUGAACCCCUGAAUUAACCGCUCUGUUCCUUCUCUGUUUUCAAGCUUGUGCUUUGUUGCUUUGGGGUUUUCUCUUUUUGCCAAUUUGAAUCAAUUACAUUAAUUUUGCAGCUCUCCUGUCCUGCACUGCCUUUCAAAAGUGUUCCUCUUGUUCUGUGACUUUCCCUUUAGCUAUUUAAAAGUGUUUUCCAAGGAAGAUCAACACCAGCCUGGGUGCUUGGCCUUGUUUUGGGAACCUUGGGCAUGCCCUGGUGCAGUGCCUGCAGCCACUAGAUGGCACAGGGCGAGGGACUCUACACCAUGAAUAGCAACCUGACGUUUUCAGUCUGUUAAGUAUGAUUAAAGGAUAAAUAAUAUUAAAUGUUUCUUUAAUAGGAGAAAAUGCACAGCAUUGACAGUAGUGAUUAAGUUGUAUUAAACAGUUGUUAUUCUGGA